UACGUAGGGUGCGAGCGUUAAUCGGAAUUCCUGGGCGUAAAGCGUGCGCAGGCGGCGCGUUAAGACAGUUGUGAAAGCCCCGAGCUUAACUUGGGAAUUGCGCUUGUGACUGGCGGGCUGGAGUGUGGCAGAGGGAGGUGGAAUUCCACGUGUAGCAGUGAAAUGCGUAGAGAUGUGGAGGAACACCGAUGGCGAAGGCAGCCCCCUGGGCUGAGAUUGACGCUCAGGCACGAAAGCGUGGGGAGCAAACAGG
rnacentral:rRNA from 1 species